AAGGUAGAAAUUAUAAAAAUAAGCUAAAUAGAAAUUCCGGAGCUAAAAACUACAAUAACUGAAAUGAAAAAUCCACUAAGGGAGCUCAGUAGGAGAAUUAAGCAAGGUGAAAAGAAAACCACUGGACUUGAAGAUACGUAAACUGAGAUUAUCCAUGAUAAAGAACAGCAAAAAAAGAAUGAAGAGAAAUGAUCCAAACCUCAGAUAUCUGUGGGACCAUCCAGUGUACCAGCACGUACAUAAGGAAAUAGUAAAGGGAGUCCUGGAAAAAGUGAAAAGAGAGCAGACACAACUUAACAUGACAUAAAGAAGUAAAGAACACUCAGAAAGGUGGAUGUAUAGGUUUGGCACCCAUUGUUGGGUCUAAUACGACUAAACGUUCCUGCAAAGCUUCGUUGUAGAUGUAAGUACUAUCC